GAUGAACGCUGGCGGCGUGCCUAAUACAUGCAAGUCGAGCGAACAGACGAGGAGCUUGCUCCUCUGACGUUAGCGGCGGACGGGUGAGUAACACGUGGAUAACCUACCUAUAAGACUGGGAUAACUUCGGGAAACCGGCGCUAAUACCGGAUAAUAUAUUGAUCCGCAUGGUUCAAUAGUGAAAGACGGUUUUGCUGUCACUUAUAGAUGGAUCCGCGCUGCAUUAGCUAGUUGGUAAGGUAACGGCUUACCAAGGCAACGAUGCGUUGCCGACCUGAGAGGGUGAUCGGCCGCACGGGAAGUGAGACACGGUCAAUACGCCUACGGGAGGCAGCAGAAGGCAAUCUGCCGCAAUGGGCGAAAGCCUUACAGAGCAACGCGGCGUGAGUGAUGAAGGUCUUCGGAUCGGAAAACUCUGUUAUUAGGGAAGAACAAAUGUGUAAGUAACUAUGCACGUCUUGACGGUACCGAAUCAGAAAGCCACGGCUAACUACGUG
rnacentral:rRNA from 1 species